UGCCCUGGUUCCCAAUUAUUGGUGAACUGGUGUUCGAGUUUUGGGGUCCGUCACGUGUGAGGGUGUUAAAUGUGGAAAUUUGUAUGGGACACCCAAUCUCCCAGAGGUCCUUUGAGGCUGGUUGACUAGCAAGCUUUGCUGUUGAUAAACCUGGGUUCAUGCAGGCUGAACGAGUUAGACACGAGUCCAAACGACGUCGAUUAAAUGUUCAAAUUUGGGUACGGUACUAUCCGUUUAAUUCACAUAUGGUUCAAUUUAUCUGAGUCUGACUUUACUUAUUGACAGUUGUUAGUUAAAUUUUAGAAACUCAAAUGUCAAAUACAUAUGUGUACGAUGAACAUGGAAUUUAUCGUUUGUAUAAUUCGACGUCGAUUUGGAUGAAUGUCCAAUCCGUUCCUGUGUUGGCGAAACUUUUAGGUUAUGUUUACCUGUAAAACGUUGAGUGUUCAAUCUGUUGGAGUUAACACAUGCCGAAAACCAUCAUACAAUUGGAGUUUUAAUUUAAUAUUCUCCAAUUCCUGGAUGACAAACUCCUAAUUGAAGCCCACGUGUUGGACGUAUCUUCCACAGGUUUUUAUCCAGAAGUACAAAAUCGAAAUACAAUUAAUUGAAAACAAUUUAAAAUGCUACUCGAUUGAAACAAUUUGAAUAAUUCUACUCGAUUGAAACAGUUUUAGAUGUAGGUGGGAUUUUGGAGGCAAAAUUGUCACCAACCAGUUGAAAAAAAACAUAACUAUUAUGUUUGUAUGAAAUUAUGUUAUGCAGUGACUAUGAUGAAAUUUCCCUAUAAAUAAGGGGUACUUUUAGCAGAUUCACUACAUAACAA